rnacentral:sRNA from 1 species
AUCGCUUCUCGGCCUUUUGGCUAAGAUCAAGUGUAGUAUUUUUUAGUUGCAGUUGGACAGAAUACCUUCAUUUAUUUUUAUGUGGUACUGAGGAUUGAAC